rnacentral:rRNA from 1 species
UACAGAGGGGGCAAGCGUUGUUCGGAAUUACUGGGCGUAAAGCGCGCGCAGGCGGUCUUCCAAGUCAGUGGUGAAAGCCCGGAGCUCAACUCCGGAACUGCCAUUGAAACUGUAAGACUUGAGGAUGAGAGAGGUGAGUGGAAUUCCCAGUGUAGAGGUGAAAUUCGUAGAUAUUAGGAAGAACACCGGUGGCGAAGGCGGCUCACUGGCUCAUUACUGACGCUCAGGCGCGACAGCGUGGGGAUCAAACAGG